GACGAACGCUGGCGGCGUGCUUAACACAUGCAAGUCGAACGGAAAGGCCCUGCUUUUGUGGGGUGCUCGAGUGGCGAACGGGUGAGUAACACGUGAGUAACCUGCCCUUGACUUUGGGAUAACUUCAGGAAACUGGGGCUAAUACCGGAUAGGAGCUCCUGCUGCAUGGUGGGGGUUGGAAAGUUUCGGCGGUUGGGGAUGGACUCGCGGCUUACCAGCUUGUUGGUGGGGUAGUGGCUUACCAAGGCUUUGACGGGUAGCCGGCCUGAGAGGGUGACCGGCCACAUGGGGGCUGAGAUACGGCCCAGACUCCGAGGGGGGGCAGCAGUGGGGAAUAUUGCACAAGGGGCGGAAGCCUGAGGCAGCAACCCCGCGGGGGGGAUGACGGCCUUCGGGUGGAAAACCGCUUUCGCCUGUGACGAAGCGGGAGUGACGGUAAUGGGUAAAGAAGCACCGGCUAACUACGU
rnacentral:rRNA from 1 species